GGACUGUAGCUCAGCGGCAGAGCGCCGGCUUCGCACGUGUGAGGCACUGGGUUCGAUCCUCAGCACCA
rnacentral:tRNA from 1 species